AAGGAAUGAACGUAUUUAUAAAGGAUACGGGAAAACCAGGAUAUACAAUUUUAACGUUUUUAUUUAUGCAGUGCCAGGAUUGCUGGGUUUCCACUGUUUCCUGAGGAAAAAGGAGCUAUCAACAAAGCCCUAAAUCCCAUGUCCCAAAACGAACAAAAAAACAAAGAAAGACAAGUGUGUAAGUUCUUGAUGGUGGAGAUGCAGGAGGCACUGGAGAGGACAGGUCGGUCCAAGGAGGUGCUGGAGUUGGGGGAGGUGCUGGACACGGGCAAGAAUAGAUGCAAUAUUAAAUAGUACACGUUGUAAGAACACACUCAUCAACCAUAAUUAUCCUUAAAUAGCUUUAGAAUGCUUAGGAUUUUAAAGCAUUGCAUCGUGGGUAGUUGAUGAUCUGUGUGUUGAUGUU
rnacentral:lncRNA from 1 species